rnacentral:rRNA from 1 species
ACAAGCGGAGGAGCAUGUGGUUUAAUUCGAUGAUACGCGAGGAACCUUACCUGGGCUCGAACGUAAGAUGACUGUAGGUGAAAGCUUACAUCUCUUCGGAGCAUUUUACGAGGUGCUGCAUGGUUGUCGUCAGCUCGUGCCGUGAGGUGUCGGGUAAGUCCCAUAACGAGCGCAACCCUACCUUUAGUUGCCAUCAGGUAAUGCUGGGGACUCUAAAGGAACUGCCUACGCAAGUAGUGAGGAAGCGGGGAUGACGUCAAAUCAGCACGGCCCUUACGUCCAGGGCUACACACGUGCUACAAUGGCCGAUACAGAGGGCAGCUACCUGGUGACAGGAUGCAAAUCUCCAAAGUCGGUCUCAGUUCGGAUCGGAGUCUGCAACCCGACUCCGUGAAGCUGGAAUCGCUAGUAAUCGCGCAUCAGCCAUGGCGCGGUGAAUACGUUCCCGGGCCUU